rnacentral:misc_RNA from 1 species
UCCUGGUUAACCCAGGCAGUCUCGCUAGAGUUCCCAGCUUUACCUGUUGGCAACUAACGAUAAGGGUUGCGCUCGUUGCGGGACUUAACCCAACACCUCACGGCACGAGCUGACGACAGCCAUGCAGCACCUGUUCAGAGGCUCCGAAAAGCUAUGAUAUUUCUACCAUAUUCCUCUGUAUGUCAAGUCUGGGUAAGGUUCUUCGCGUUGCAUCGAAUUAAACCACAUGCUCCACUGCUUGUGCGGGUCCCCGUCAAUUCUUUUGAGUUUCACCCUUGCGAGCGUACUCCCCAGGCGGUAUACUUAUCGCGUUAGCUUCGGCACAACUAGGGUUGAGUCCAGUUACACCAAGUAUACAUAGUUUACGGCAAGGACUAC